AUCUGUCAUACCUGCCCCAUAGGGCAACUGCCCAGUGAGACCUCAAUUCACAGAUCUACCCUCUUGAAAUUGGGCUGUGGUUCACUGGGCAGCUCGGGACUUCCCUGUAGAAGGGGAAGGAGGAACUGCGGUACAAUGCAGAACAACACUACCUAAUGACAUCCAUCAAUCAAACAGUGUCUGUCCCAGCAGAUACGUGCAUCUUUGGCCCUGCAUCCCAGCAUCUGCUGUAUCCUGAGGAAGGAGGGAGCCAGGCACUGGAACACCCGCCAAGGCUUCUCCUGCAGGGGACAGGUGAAAAUUCAACCUAACUACACAUGACCUUUGGGUGUGACUAAGAUGAAAUAUAGCUGUGAAGAUGACAAGGGGUCUACCCCUGGGCCAGUCAGUUAUGAUCAAAGGGGAGCUAUCAUGUAAGCAGUAAACAAUGCCACA